rfam:Canis lupus familiaris chromosome 9, whole genome shotgun sequence.
ACCUGGCUGGCUCAGUUGAUAGAGCAAGUGACUUCGGAUCUUGAGGUUGUGGGUUUGAAACCCACAUUGGGUA